CACCUUCGGGUGUGAAUUAGCGGCGAACGGGUGAGGAACACGUGAAGAAUCUGCCUUCAACUCUGGGAUAACUCCGGGAAACCGGGGCUAAUACCGGAUAUGAGCCUUGAUCGCAUGAUCGGGGCUGGAAAGUUUUUCGGUUGAAGAUGACUUCGCGGCCUAUCAGCUUGUUGGUGAGGUAAUGGCUCACCAAGGCGACGACGGGUAGCCGGCCUGAGAGGGCGACCGGCCACACUGGGACUGAGACACGGCCCAGACUCCUACGGGAGGCAGCAGUGGGGAAUAUUGGGCAAUGGAGGAAACUCUGACCCAGCGACGCCGCGUGAGGGAUGAAGGCCUUCGGGUUGUAAACCUCUUUCAGUAGGGAAGAAGCGAAAGUGACGGUACCUACAGAAGAAGCACCGGCUAACUAUGUGCCAGCAGCCGCGGUAAUACAUAGGGUGCAAGCGUUGUCCGGAAUUAUUGGGCGUAAAGAGCUCGUAGGUGGUUCGAUACGUCGGAUGUGAAAAUCAGGGGCUCAACCCCUGACCUGCAUCCGAUACGGUCGAGCUAGAGUUUGGUAGGGGAGACUGGAAUUCCUGGUGUAGCGGUGGAAUGCGCAGAUAUCAGGAGGAACACCGAUGGCGAAGGCAGGUCUCUGGGCCAAUACUGACACUGAGGAGCGAAAGCGUGGGGAGCGAACAGGANUAGAUACCCUGGUAGUCCACGCCGUAAACGGUGGGCGCUAGUUGUGCGAACCUUCCACGGUUUGUGCGACGCANCUAACGCAUUAAGCGCCCCGCCUGGGGAGUACGAUNCGCNAGAUUAAAACUCNNGGNANUUGACGGGGCCCCGCACNA
rnacentral:rRNA from 1 species